CCUACGGGAGGCAGCAGUGAGGAAUAUUGGUCAAUGGGCGCGAGCCUGAACCAGCCAAGUAGCGUGCAGGAAGACUGCCCUAUGGGUUGUAAACUGCUUUUAUGCGGGGAUAAAGUGCAGCACGUGUGCUGUUUUGUAGGUACCGCAUGAAUAAGGACCGGCUAAUUCCGUGCCAGCAGCCACGGUAAU
rnacentral:rRNA from 1 species